AUUGAACGCUGGCGGCAGGCCUAACACAUGCAAGUCGAGCGAGCGGCGGGCGGGUGAGUAAUGUCUGGGAAACUGCCUGUUGGAUGGGGAUAACUACUGGAAACGGUAUAUAAUACCGCAUACCAUCCGAUGUGCCCAGAUGGGAUUAGCUAGUCGGGGGGGUAACGGCUCACCUAGGCGACGAUCCCUCGCUGGUCUGAGAGGAGGACCAGCCACACUGGAACUGAGGCACGGGCCAGAAGCCUGCGGUAGGCAGCAGUGGGGAAUAUGGCAUAAGGGGCGCAAGCCUGAGGCAGCCAGGCCGAGGGUGUGAAGAAGGCCUUCGGGUUGGAAAGCACUUUCAGCGGGGAGGCGGUGCACGAAGAAGAAGCACCGGCGAACUCCGUGCCAGCAGCCGCGGGAAUAC
rnacentral:rRNA from 1 species